ensembl:lncRNA
GUCAGACUCUUUGCGACCCCGUGGACUGCAGCACGUCAGGCUCCCCUAUCCCCCACUAUCUCCCAGAGUGUGCUCAAAUUCAUGUCCACAGAGUCAGUGAUGCUAUCUCACCAUCUCAUCCUCUGCUGCCCCCUUCUCCUUUUGCUGUCAAUCUUCCCCAGCCUCAGGGUCUUUUCCAAUGAGUCAGCUCUUUGCAUCAGUGACCAAAAUACUGGAGCUUCAGCUUCAGCAUCAGUCCUUCCAGUGAAUAGUCAGGUCUUUUAUCCUGAUUUCUUAAGACGAGAUCAGACCAGACUAGACUGCUCUAAAGCACCUUUUUUCAUCCAGUAACAGCCGGGGUCCCACGCUCUCCUCCUGGUCGGGGCCAUCUCACUUAUUUAGGGCUGUUGAGUCACCAUUGUUACAACUCAAUUUAAAACAAAAGCAACUCCUAGUCUCGGAAUCAGUCAUAGCAGCAGUUCAAAUUGGCUUAGGGGUCAAAACAAAAUGAAUCUACCAACACUGAUUUAUUUAACCCGAAGAAAAGCCAGCCCAGUAAGUGGGGAGAAACACCAGCAAACACUCAAGAAGACCUGGGCUGACAUAUUUAUUCAAAGCCCAAACUCUCCUUAGUUCUGUCUUCUGAGUCUACCCAGGUUUACAUGAGAGACUGUCUCUGGGGCACUGUGACCCCACAGUGGGUGUUCUAGGCCGUCAUGUAAGGGCCCCAACGCGAGCACCAGCAGGUCACUGCUGCUGUCCUAGACAAGCUUGCCAAAUGCCUACCUGGUCCUUCUUUAUGGAUGACCCCCAUGCUGGUUGCCCUUCUUCCAAAUUGGUGCCAAUCUAAUGCCCUUUCUGUGCUCAGAAUUAUACCAGACACUGAUUUUCUAUUAUAGCCAUGAGCUCUCACUGAUAUUAUUAAUCCUGGCCCAUCCAUGUAUUUUUUGCUAUCUUUGUAAAGCUGUGUCUCUUUUUUGCUACAAUUCUACUUUCAUGUUAAGUUUCUGUAUCUAAGACACCAUUUCAUUUUACCUUCAUUGAGAUAUCACUAAUAUUUUCUCAUGCUGUUAUAUGUUUUUAAUGGCAGCAUAGUAAGUUGAUAGGGCCUCCCUGGUGGCUCAGGGGUAAAGAAUCCACCUGCAAUACAGGAAACCCAUGCAGGAGACAGAGGUGUGCUGCAGUCCAUGGGGUCGCAAAGAGCUGAACUGACUGAACUGACACAGCUGAACGACUGAACUGAACUGAUGCAGGACGUGCGGGUUCAGUCCCUGGGCCAAGAAGAUCCACUGGAGAAGGAAACAGCCACCCACUCCAGUAUUCUUGCCUGAAAAAUCCCAUGGACAGAGGAGCCUGUCGGGCUACAGUCCAUGGGGUCGCAAAAAGUCAGACACGAGUUAGCAACUAACUAAGUUGAUACACAAUUUCUACAGUAUCCUACUGUAGAACAUUCAGGUGAUUUUCAACAUUUUGAUUUUAUCAAAGAACAAUGUGGUGACUCUGUGCCAAGCGUGAUUCAAAGCAAAUGCUCACAAGUGGAAUUGCUGGACCACAAGCCACGCAUUUAUUGGUGGUUUUUGUUACCUACUGCCAACUCACCCUUGGUAGGUCACGAUUUUACAUCUAACAGCUAUUUUGCUGGACUCAUCCUUAUGCAGUUUUGACCAAUCCAUUCUUCCCCUGAGACAUAUGGACGACAGGGCCGCUGACGCUGGCUCUCGGGAUGGGAGGUUUCAAAGUCCAGGACACUAACUUUAGAUUCACAUGUUCUCUUGGAAAAUUCCUCUUCGCUCAUCCAACUGCAACGUUCCAGGCACCACUCCAUGAGCCAGCUAGAUAAAAUUCACACCCCAACAGAGCUUACAUUCCAUCUGGGAGGAGACAGUAUGUGUGUGCUCAGUUGCUAG